CUUUCCUUUGCCGCGGGCCUCGCUCUCUUGAGCGUAGGUUCUUCUUUCAUCAAUGAGCAAUUCACAAGCUUCGCCGCUUACACCAUUGGAAUAUAUGGGGCUUUUUUGCUUUCUAUGGUUCUUUACUGCAUGCCCUCUUCCUUAUACAAAUACAAGACUAUAAAUGUUACCAUUCUGUCCAUUUCCUCUGCAAUCAUCUCCGUUGCUUACGCCUUGGUAUUGAAGGUGGUUCUCUAUAAGGGUGCAACUUCAGUUACUCAUGCAUUGUAGGCUUAAGCCCCUCUUUGAUUUAACGGAGAAUAUAUCGUCUGUGAUGAUGUACGUGGUUGAAAUAAAAAGCUUUACAGGACUACUAAGGUGCAUUUAAUACUUUGUAUGCUACUUAAAUUGAUCUGAUUUGGAGCUGGCUUCUACUUGACGCUCUCUAUCUGGAUUUUGUGAAAUUAGGAAAAAGUUUAGAUACAACUAACCGGUCCAAUCGUUUGGGUGCGAAAGUUUGCACGUUGAGAUUCCGAACCUGUAGCCACGAUUCUGUUUAUGGGGAUGAUGUCCAAUCGUUCGGGAUAUUGGAAAAAGUGUCCUAAUUUUAUCCGGCUUUGCAACAUAAGGCGCAACUUGUCCCGGUUGCUCUGGGUCAGCGCUGUGGGGAGCGCCCGCUUUCUUCUUCCUCCUCUUCUCCACUCGGUUCCGUGCCAACUGAACCAAAAAACCAGUCUCUCUCUCGCUUUCUGUAUUCGGUUUCCCAUCAAAGAUGAACGACGGCCUGUUCGGGUUCGAACAAUGCCCCGAUCACGAGAAUGACCAUCAUUGCUUAUGCCGUCUUCACCGUCCUCAAGGGUGCGCAUGGCCGUUCGGCGGCUUUGGUCGUGUCUUGCCACCGUAUUAGCUUGGUCGUCCUUUUGUCCAUAUGAUUUUUGUGUGCCCUCUAUUUCGCUGGUUUUCUUUUACUAAUUUGUGAUCUGGUCUCUGUGCCUUUUGCCCAAUUUGAGUAUUUUUGAGGUUUUGCCGAUGAAGCAAGAUCGGGAACAAAGGCUUUUUAUGUGAUGAAGAAGGUUCCUGGUGAUCCUUUUUAAGCUGCGGAAAUGUUGGUCUAUCUGAUUUGUAUGUUUUGUGCCGCUUGAACUUCGCGUACCCGUGACGACGUUGGAUUCAUCAUCUCUUUACGGAGUUUAUGUUGUGGAUAGAUGGUGGUUUGUGUUUCAUUUUCUAUCGGUGCGGUUUAGUUGCGCGAAUUCUUUCGCUGGCGGAAAUGUUGGUCUAUCAGAGCUUUAAUCUACCAGUGCCCGAGUUAUCUUAUAUUCGUGCACAAUUAGCACAUUGUGAAUUUGCUAAUAUGCUUGUCAAUCCUUGACUGAUUUGCGUUUUCAUGUUUUAGAAUGAUUAAGGUUGGAUUAAGAUGUCUGCAGUUGAUUUUUUUUCAGCAUUAACUGCAUAUUGUAUUUGAAACUUGAUUUAGCUGUACUCUUGUGAUAUCUAUGUGUUAAAAACUUCCAGGCAUUUCUCUAAUAUCCCUCAAUUUGUACUGUUGUAAAAAAAAAAGUCAGGAAGUUACCUAAAGUCGUAUGCUGAAACAUUGAGUCAACUCUUUGCAUAGCAAUAUCAUGUGCUCUGUUCUCCUAACUAGCAUGAGUUUUUGUGUGCACUUGCUAAGAAAUGAGCUCUUUAUAUGUUGUUCAGACUGUGGAAAAACAGAAAGGGAAUUUACUAGAUUUUUUGUUGGGAUACUUGCAAGAAGCGACUGUUUCAUUAAGGAGGCUAAUGUCUUCUUUGUUUUCUUUUUCAUCUACUUUAAAGCUGAUGUAUGGCUUAUAUUUGCUUUAUUACUUCAGUUUGUUUGAGAAGCAAAUUGUCUCAAACAACUAUUUAUUUAGCAGCCAUCAGUUUACCUCUUUCCUAACUGCUUUUAUUUAUCUUUUUUGGAGGUUAGUUGGAAACUGGGAAGAUCAAUGCACCAAGGAGAUCUUUUUGCACUUAGAAAUGACAUCCAGCACAAAAUUGUUUCUUUUUUUUUUAAUUUCAUAUUACUUCUCUUGCUAAACAUUAUAUAUAACAGAAAAAAUACCUUCUUUACGACAAGAUUAUAUUUGACAUUAAAAGAGACUUGCUUUCCCACAAAGUUCUUGUAAUUCUUCGAGUUUCCUGGACUUAAUUUCUGUUGACAUUCCUUUUCUCAAUUUUAUCUUUCCGUUUGCCGUCUGCAAGGCUGUCAUUUAUGCCAUCUCUGUUUUCAUAUAUUUAUUUGACCACUUGUAUUUUGUUUAUGCCAUGGGCUCUAUUUUGAUUCGUUUAUGUCUUGUCCAUGUCAUUUUGAUUGCCCUUUUGUUUGCCUAGAAUAAUCAUUGCAAUGGCCAUUAUCCAUGAGGAGCAGAGAGAAAGUUAUCCAUGACAGCUUUGUUCCUUCAUCUUUCAGAACAUAUCCAGGAAGGGCUUCAUGGCAACUUGAUUCCUACUCAUCUUCAGGAUUCAUUUGAAGAGAUAAUCAUGGUCUUACUACACCUGGUCUACUUGUGGCGGUUGUAGUGCUGCUUGAUUUGAUGGUUCCCCAAUUCAUCGGAUGAGAAGAUUGGAGAUAUUCCCAAGUCAAAUUUGGUAGCAAUGAGAGACCAAAUAUUCUUCUCUCGUUGUUAAUGACUAGGUCCACCUUGGAUGGUCAUAUUUCAAAAGCAACACCUUUUAGUGAGGGACUGAGGGUUACUUUGUUCAAUCAGUAUUGUCUUUCCCUUUACCUCGAUUCUAUCCCCAUGAUCCAUAGUUUUGCACCAAAAGACCUUGAUUGUUCCACUUUUUUUACAGUGUCUUGCUACUUUUCUCUUUUCUUUGUUCAAGUAACUUUGUGUAAUAGCACUCUUUAUAGUUGAUAUUCAUUUUUGAGACAACCUAUUUUGAAAAUCA